AACGAACGCUGGCGGCAUGCCUAACACAUGCAAGUCGAACGAGACCUUCGGGUCUAGUGGCGCACGGGUGCGUAACGCGUGGGAACCUGCCCUUAGGUUCGGAAUAACUCCCCGAAAGGGGUGCUAAUACCGGAUAAUGUCUUCGGACCAAAGAUUUCUCGCCUUUGGGUGGGCCCGCUUUGGAUUAGCUAGUUGGUAGGGUAAAAGCCUACCAAGGCGACGAUCCAUAGCUGGUCUGAGAGGAUGAUCAGCCACACUGGGACUGAGACACGGCCCAGACUCCUACGGGAGGCAGCAGUGGGGAAUAUUGGACAAUGGGCGAAAGCCUGAUCCAGCAAUGCCGCGUGAGUGAUGAAGGCCUUAGGGUUGUAAAGCUCUUUUACCCGGGAUGAUAAUGACAGUACCGGGAGAAUAAGCUCCGGCUAACUCCGUG
rnacentral:rRNA from 1 species